ACUUCACAUCCAGAAUGCUAGUGGGUGAGCUACAGCUUGUGACUCAGAUGAUCAUGGAGUAUUUACCAGGCCCACUCACAGCACAAAGGAGGGAGUGAUCAUCUCCUCAGAGGUUGGGGUGGAGCAGGAGCAUGGAAUUCUUGCCAGAGUCACAGAGGAAGGCAUUGCAUGGGGACAAUUGGGAAUUACCCUGAGGAUGGCAGCUCAAAGUGAGAUGAAAUUUCCUGAUACAAGGUUUCUCAUGAAGCAAGACUUUGUGGGAUUUGAG